rnacentral:rRNA from 1 species
UACAGAGGUGCCAAGCGUUAGGCGGAAUCACUGGGCUUAAAGCGCGUGUAGGUGGGUCGUUAAGUGUCCGCGUGAAAUCCCACGGCUCAACCGUGGAACUGCCGGGCAUACUGGCGAUCUUGAGGCAUUCAGGGGCGAGCGGAACAAAUGGUGGAGCGGUGAAAUGCGUAGAUAUCAUCUGGAAUACCGGAGGCGAAGGCGGCUCACUGGGGCUUUUCUGACGCUGAGGAACGAAAGCCAGGGUAGCGAACGGG